AAUUUAUUUUUAAUGUCAGUGACAAUUUGGACAGGCGAAUACAGUUACUGGGGUGAACAAAUAUACCUAGAGACAUUUGAAAAUGGGUGGUCGUGUUUGCUUCGAAGACGCGAGAUCAUUUCAUACCUAGUGAGGAAUAUAUCAUUUGGCUAUCUAUGAUAGCUAUGCAGCGAGGCAUACAUGUUAUUGUUAAUUCAAAGGUAGAAUGCUAUAUUCAUGCUGUAUUUCACAAUGGGGCUAACCCUGUGGUUAAUGAAUUGUGUUUUACGAAUCAAUUACCCUGAUGUUUAUAGUAGUGAAUUCACUUGAAUGAGUUCAAACAACGUUGGACGAUUUAGGGAUUUCCGAUUUUCAUCAACUGUCAAAGGUUAUAUUCGGUCUGCUGGCUAUACCAUGAAUGGAGAUGCGUUCAGUAUUGGCGCUGGUUUCUUGUAUUGGAUGGUCAGUGUAAAGAAAAAUAAAUGGAUGAAUACUACCUGCUGGUGUCAUAAACUUGCAAAAAUUGACAGAACAACAGAACAAAUACGGGUAAAUCAGGGACAGUUAGGCAAAUAUCAUUAGAAAGGCCAGGAAUACUAUACUUUUCUCUUCCCUGGCUUAAAAAAGUGCUGCAUUUUUUCUCUGGCCUUGAACCUUCUUCAGUUUGGGCACAUAUCAAGUGAAUACAUAUUGGCUGUGUCCCAAACCGCAAACUUCCAUAUUCCACACUACCGGGGUCCGGAAUACGCACUCCAGGCAAAAUUUGGGACUAGCCUACGCACUCCGAACCAUGGAAGUGCUUGUCUGGGUCCAGACCUUUGAAUCCUAGCACUGCAGAUUCAGGUCUGGUACAGAGACUGUAAAAAAUAGGUCUGGCAUCGUGACAUGAAACAGCGGUUUCUCCGGUUGCCGAAGCGAUUAUCCAAUCAGAGCCAAGGGCGGGACUAACGCCGUUGUCAAGAUGUGCGCCAGAACCAUGGAUUAACAACAACAAUGGCGACCGCUUUUCUAUAAAUACAGGGCGCAUACGCUGUGCGGACGGACAGUCCGCAGUCGUUCGCCGUUUCACAGCCCAGUCGUACCACCGCAUACCCAAGCCCUACAUUUCCCACAAUCUUUGCGCGUCGUUUUCCUUUUCUGCCGGAAGUUACAGACUGUAAACAUGGCCUCGUCCUUGCCCAGCGGUGUGCUUAGUUCUCUCCAUGAAUUGUUGUUCUUCUGAAAAUCUUUAUAAUCCUGUUGGGAUGAAUCGCAUAGGUGCCUGUACCUUCUCACCUCUUCAGCCAGUCUCUCUUCAAAUGUUCAAUCCAUAUCUGUUUUGUGUAUUCCGCAUCACCGCGUGUUUCCGGUGCCACAUGAAAUGCAUGUCGAUGUGAAACAGUUUCGUACCGAGCGAUGAUUUGUGUGACACAGGUACGCGUACGCUAGGUACGCGCAGUCACAAAAAUUGAGCUUCGCACGGACAUGCCAAGGUGGACGUACGCUGAGGUCCGCUAUUUCGUCAUUUUGACCGCCCGGACCCCAGCGGAGUCCAUUACAUUACAUUACAUUACAGGCAUUUGGCAGACGCUCUUAUCCAGAGCGACGUACAACAAAGUGUAUAACCAUAACCAGGAACAAGUAUGACGAAACCCCUAGAGAGAAGUACCGGUCCAAGUGCAGGGAACAACCGCAUAGUUCAACUUGGACCCUGAAGGUUAAACUGAUUAACACUAAACAACGAGAACGGCAACAACGCAGUCUAUGGAAAAAAUACAAGCAGUAGUUAAGACAGUUAAUGCACCUAAGUCACCUACGAAACAGCUGCCUAGUUACAACCCUAAGCUUACAGUCAUUUACAGGGGGGUAGGGAGGGAUGGGGAGAGGUGCAGCCUGAAGAGGUGAGUCUUCAGUCGUCGUUUGAAAUGGGUCAGUGUCUCAGCUGUUCUGACCUCCACCGGGAGGUCAUUCCACCAUCGUGGGGCCAGAACAGACAGGAGACGUGUUCUGGAAGUGCAGGUGCGAAGAGGGGGAGGUGCUAGGCGUCCUGAGGUAGCAGAACGGAGGGAUCUGGCUGGCAUGUAGGGUUUGAAUAUCUUGUGGAGGUAUGCUGGGGCUGAUCCCUUGACUGCCUGGUAUGCUAGGACCAAUGUUUUAAAUUUGAUGCGAGCUAUAACAGGCAGCCAGUGGAGGGUAGUGAGCAGGGGAGUGACGUGGGAGUGUCUGGGGAGGUUGAAGACCAGACGAGCCGCAGCAUUCUGAAUGAGUUGCAGGGGUCUGGUGGCAGAUGCCGGUAGUCCAGCCAGAAGAGUCCGUGUAUGCUACGUCUGGACCAUGAAGUGGCCUUUAGCCUUUAAAGCUCGUACAUACUUUCCGCAUUCCGCGUCCGCGUACAGCUGCGGACUCGUACAGGUCGCGCGGACGCGCACAUGGUUCCAUUCAUACUACAAUUGAGAGUUCGCGUCGGUCUGGUGUUCCACGCAUGCGCAUUUCCCGAGCCACACUCCAUUCCAGUUCCAUUACCACAGAGUGAAUGCGUAAGUGAAUGCGAUGAUAAGAAAAUUUUCGGUUACGCUGACCUAUAAAACGCUAUUCCAAAAGCAAAAUUAGACAUGCUAUACAUCGUUAGAAAGCUUAUACUCUCACCUACUGAAUAAAUGAAUUGUCAAUCAAGACAGACUGUACUAAAAAGGGUGACAACGCCAUAAACAACAGGUGUGGUAUUACGCACAUCUAUUUUGGAAGGUACCCAGCCAUCACAAAUGCGUGUGUAUUUCACAACCGGAUUGUCCAAGACAAUAUAUGACCACUCAGUCUCAAAAGGGACAUCUUUACGCGUAAAAGCAAUGGGAAGGUUGUAUAUUUAUUCAAUAUUUAGUCCCAGAUAUUGACUGUAGAAUGACAUGGUAUCUUUUUAAAAACUUUGUCUCGUUUAUUUCGUUAUUCAGUGAGCAGCGCCCUAUUGGCAUAUCGUAGGGCUAUUGACGGGUUUAUCUUGUUGCUGUGAAGGAAUAUGAUUUUUGAGUGGUGAAAGAAUAUUUUUAUGAAUACCCAUAUAGACAAUAUAAAUGUGGGUAACGGCGGAUCUCCUCGCACAACCUCUCUUCAAUACAAGAAUCCAUUUUGUUAUCUGGAGCAUGCGCAAUCGGCGCGCUUGCUAUGCAUACAGUCUGCUCGGUUACAAAUUUUUGGCUGCACGCGGACCCUCGCGGACCAAAGCGGACCCUCACGGACACGCGGACGCGGAAAGUAUGAAUUGGCCUUUAGACAGGAUAGACGCGGUUAUCCAGGCUGUUUUACGUCGAUUAAAAGUUCCAAUUACUUUGAAAUCCGAACAGCACUCUGAUUUGAAGGCAUUUAUUCAAAGGGGAGAUGUUUUUUGGAUUCACAAAUCACACAAAUCCUCCCAGAAUAGACACUGGGUCUAUAUGGGAUUACCCCAACAUCUCGGAAACGUUCACUUAAUGGCCUCUCUUUCGUGUUUAGGAUGCUGAAUAAUAUUCUUGAAUUUGUUAUGACCCCCUUGAUUAACAAAUUUAUUUUACAUAGACGGUCUUCUCAAUAUUGCCCGACAUUGUAGUUUGUUUUAACUUCGCGCCGCUCCACUCGUAGCCUGAUAUCAGACAUAAUUGUCAACUCGUUACACUCCAUUUCCAUCUUUGGAUUCAAAGGUCUGAGAUGCGUUCAAAUUCAGCGAACAAGUUGAACGUUUGCAAACUACUUAACGCUCAAUGUUAGCUAUCAUCAAUGUGAAUGCUGUCACAACAAUUUAAUGUAGCUAACUGUCGAUAGCUAACGUAGCUAAUGCCAACUUAAUGUUACCCAUUUAAGUUAACUAACUAGCUAAUGCAAACAAUUUGGAACGUUGUUAAAAAAUUUAAUUUAACUGUUCAAAGAAAACGUUCGCCACGAGCGUUCGCCUCUGUUCGCUGAAUUUGAACGCACCUCUGGACCAAGCGGCCAAAACCAGACUUCGUUUUUGAAGCUCAUUUCCUGGUGUUGUAGUUCCUGGUUGCUCACUAGCGCCACUACGGAUGGCUCCAGUAUAGGUGUUUUCAUAUCCGGUUUCCAUGUAAGUCUACGGUACAAAUGCGAUCAAAAUACAAAGUCAAUAAUUUUUGCUCACAAGAACAAAUAGUCAUAAUAGGUGUAUUUUAUUGGUCUUAUGACUGUCCAUGGGUCGAUUUCAUGAUUUAUUGCGUCAUUUGGGCACAGUGCCAAUAUUUGUUCUGGACCAAUGAGGUACAGUUUGCGUCACUUCCGGAUUACUGCGAAGGACUGAGCUACAGUAGGGGCUACAGUCUAUGGUCACUGGGGUGGGCGGUGGCGCCUCUUGGCCUUGACAUUGCGGCUCCGGCCACGGUCCGCCUGUGCUAAACGACCAUAAAAUAAUCCUUAACCAAAUAAUUACUUGGCAGAAAGCGUAAUCAGCUUGCUAUAUUUGGUAGUCCAGUAGUAGCCUAUGCUAAAACAGUUCGCAACUUCGGCUACCAAGCCAUUUGACUAGCUAGCUAACCUUAACCGGCAAACAUUCAAUCUGUCAGACGUGUUUGGCGGCUUGUCAGUCGUGUUCAUUCCGUAAAUGUCUACCUGGGCCAUGCUUCACGCAUGUGACAAAACUACUAUCUCGAUUUUGGGAUAAACACUUUUUCAGUUUCACGAAGCGAAUUAAGAGUCUCAAGGUUCAUUUGCUGAAUAUAGAACACACGAUGAAAUCACACACAGAAUUUAACGAAAUUAACCAUCUUGGCAUUUAGAAAGGAACAUGUUUUUAGCAUUUAAGAGAUCGACAAGCUAGGCAUUUAAGACAGUGGUUCUCAGAAUCGGUUCUGGGGGUUCCUUGCGUAUAUUGGCUUUUCUCCAUUGGUUUUGAUGAUUUACAAGAAAAAAAUAAUAGCCUAAUAAUAAUUAGAAAUUCAACGUAGGCUACAUUAUUUUUGUCUUCAUGCACCAGGUGGAAAACUUGCUGUACAAAGUGCGUUGUCAUAUUUACACGCCUGCAGAUCAGUUAUUAAAAUACUUGGUAGAUUUGUUAAUCACCGCUGACAGUGUUAAUUUUUAUUCGGUAGAAAG